GCGGUCACACCCGUUCCCAUGCCGAACACGGAAGUUAAGCUCUUCAGCGCCGAUGGUAGUCGGGGGUUUCCCCCUGUGAGAGUAGGACGCCGCCAAGC
rnacentral:rRNA from 1 species